AUUGAACGCUGGCGGCAGGCCUAACACAUGCAAGUCGAGCGGAUGAAGGGAGCUUGCUCCUGGAUUCAGCGGCGGACGGGUGAGUAAUGCCUAUGAAUCUGCCUGGUAGUGGGGGAUAACGUCCGGAAACGGGCGCUAAUACCGCAUACGUCCUGAGGGAGAAAGUGGGUGAUCUUCGGACCUCACGCUAUCAGAUGAGCCUAGGUCGGAUUAGCUAGUUGGUGGGGUAAAGGCCUACCAAGGCGACGAUCCGUAACUGGUCUGAGAGGAUGAUCAGUCACACUGGAACUGAGACACGGUCCAGACUCCUAAGGGAGGCAGCAGUGGGGAAUAUUGGACAAUGGGCGAAAGCCUGAUCCAGCCAUGCCGCGUGUGUGAAGAAGGUCUUCGGAUUGUAAAGCACUUUAAGUUGGGAGGAAGGGCAGUAAGUUAAUACCUUGCUGUUUUGACGUUACCAACAGAAUAAGCACCGGCUAACUUCGUG
rnacentral:rRNA from 1 species